GUCUGUCCGUCCAGACGGAGAGAGGCCUAAAGAAUAUUACGGCGAUCCGAAAUAUAUAUACUUUGUAGGGUCGGAAAUUGAUAUUUCGAUAUGUUGCAAAUGGAAAGACUAAAUAAAUACACCCCCUUCCUACGGUGAUUUGCAGUGUUAGAGAUUUCAAAUUUUGGUUAUAAUUUCAGACUUGACUCACAUUGACAUUUUAGAGAUGGAGUAUGAUUUAGGCUAGGAGGCCACCGUAGCGCAGAGGUUAGCAUGUCCACCUAUGACGGUGAACGCCUGGCGAGUUUAUGCUGGCAACAUUUGUGAGGUACUAUGCCAUGUAAAACUUCUCUCCAAAGAGAUGUCGCUCUGCGGCGCGGACUCAGCUAUAAAAAGGAGGCCCCUUAAUCAUUGAGCUUAAACUUAAAUCGGACUGCACUCAUUGAUAUGUGAGAAGUUUGCCCCUGUUCUUUAGUGGAAUGUUCAUGGGCAAAAUUUGCAAUUUAGGCGAAUUGUUUAAAUCGGGAUUUAUGUUUUAUGAGAAAAAUCUUGUUCAACACACUUGUUAAGUAACUUACUUUAUGAAUUUCGAUUUUCCUUUAGUAGUACUGGUAAAUAUUUUCUUUUCAUGAUUGUGCUAUCGGUAAGACUGAGUUUAGUAGUAGAUUGAUUUAUUGACAUUUUUUAUUCAAAUUUUUCAAAUAUGCCAUCGACGCGUAGUCGUGAAAAUUUGUUGGAUUUGAAGAAACAACGAACGUUAGUUUUAAGAUUGAUAUGAGUGAUGAUGAUGCAAUAGCACGUAACAAAUGGGGUGCUACUGCAAGAAGGCGGCAGUGUGUUGUACGCUAAGGAGGCAGCCCUUGUCGUUGAAGGACUCCAUCGGGUCAAUCCGAUACUUACAAUCGACUGCCAUGGGAUUGAAGUAUGUAUGUACAUAUGUCGUUGGAUCAGAUUUGAAUAUAGUUCCCAUGUAAAAUCGUCCUUUAACUUGACUUCAUAAGUCUCCAGAAUAAAUCAUUUGUUGUUGUUAUAUCA